AUGGAGGAGCUGCAGCCGCUGCUGGUGCAGGAGGCAGUGGACUCCAUCCUGAACAAUCUGGAGAGAGAGAACAUCCGGAAUAUGCAGGGUCUCAUGUUCCGUUGAAGUGCCAGCUGUCGUGAGGACAGGCAGGCUUCCAUGCAGCAGGUGCACCAGUGUGUCAAACUCUGCCAUGUUCCUCUGGCUUAAUCCCAGGCUUUGGUCACCAGUGAGUUCCAGGACUGCCUGGCCCGGUGCACCAUGCAUUGCAACCACAAAGCCAAAGAUUCAAUAGAUGCUGGGAGUAAGGAGCUUCAGGUGAAGCAGCAGCUGGUUGGCUGUGUGACCAAGUGUGUGGAUGACCACAUGCAUCUCAUCCCAACUAUGACCAAGAAGACAAAGGAGCCUCUCUCAUCCAUUGGGAAAUAA
rnacentral:lncRNA from 1 species